UGGCGAACGGGUGAGUAACGCGUGAGGAACCUGCCUCAAAGAGGGGGACAACAGUUGGAAACGACUGCUAAUACCGCAUAAGCCCACGACCCGGCAUCGGGAAGAGGGAAAAGGAGCAAUCCGCUUUGAGAUGGCCUCGCGUCCGAUUAGCUAGUUGGUGAGGUAACGGCCCACCAAGGCACGAUCGGUAGCCGGACUGAGAGGUUGAACGGCCACAUUGGGACUGAGACACGGCCCAG
rnacentral:rRNA from 1 species